rnacentral:lncRNA from 1 species
GGUGGGGAAAAAAAUGGGGACAGCUGGACCAACUUUUGCGCGCGCUGAAUUGAUUUCCCACCCUUCUUUUCCUCCCUUCGGAACAAAGAGAGGGCGCUUUUUUAGGUGGCCGACGGGUGCUGCCUCUAGCGGCCAGACAUAAUCUCUCGUGUCUGCUUCUCGCGUGUAUACUCACUAUCUCCCAGCUUGUUGAUCUUUUGUGAUUGCCAUUGUUUCUCUGAGGUUCUCGUCUACUUAUCUCUCUCGAAAACACAACAAAAAAUAGAAUUGUUCAUAUUUAGAAGAAAUCUUAGGUGAAAAACGAAAUGAAAAGAUAAGGAAAAAUAGCCGCAGAUGGGAACCGCGUGGGGGCACACAUGGCAGCUGCGUCCAACGAGACACGGUCGACACAUGGCGGUUCCAAUUGAAUUAUUUCACAUACGACAGCAGUUGCUUUCGUGAUGGUGCAGGAUCGCAACGGACAAAAAAAAAAAACACACACACACACAAAAGAGCAACAACAAAAAAUCGUCUUGAAUUAAAGAACGAUGGAGUAAAAAAAAAAAAACGAGAGUGGAGCGAACAAAAGAUGCAUUUUUUCCCACGAACAAAGAUGGCGUCAGCGUCUAUAAAUCAGCAGCGCGUCUUUUUUUUUUUUCUCUUCUUCUUUCUGAAUUUCUCGAUAGUUAAAAACGAUCUAACCUUUUUCUCUCUUCUAUACAUAAAGGAUCUUUUCCUAACCGACAUUUUCACUUUUAAAGAGCAUCUGCUGUUCAAUAUAAAGAACAACAACAAGCAAAACGAGUACUACUACUAUAUCGGAGAUAUCAAAAACCGAUAGGCUGAAAAACCCGUGUGGAUUUCACAGUGGGAAAAUAAAAAAAAUAAAAGAAUUUUCUUUUGUGUCUUUUCAGGUAGGCGCCCCGUAACGGAACUUUUUCCAGCAGCAGCAGCAGAAGGUCGACGGAAAGAUGAGAGAGCUGUGUGUGCCACAGGGCGAAAUCAACCAAAAAUAAGAUUUCCCCACCAAUUCGUGAUGAACGUCGACGAGCUUACGGUUGCUGACCUUUCACCUGGAAUUUACUCGCCAUUCGUCUUCCACGAGUUUUCUUGUUAUGCUCACAGGAGGACCAUCUGCUGCACACACAUCGCCACUUCCACAUAUUUGCUCAGUUGGUCAGACACAAAAACAUCUGGAAACUGGGAUAGAAAAAAACAAAAAAACAUGGCCGACUUUGAAACAAAACGAUCUUUUUUUUUCCUAUUUAAUGAGCCCUUGAACUUUUUUCAUCAUUAAGAAUUCAAUGUCAUGACUGGAUAGGAAAUAAAUCGAUAAUACAAGAAAACGAGUUUUAAAGAAAACGAAAAUUGUCGUCUAAACAGGAAAAAAAAAAAGAACGUGGAACUUUGAAAAAGACGAAAAUAGCUCACGAUGGGGGGUUUCAAAUUUCAAAGUCCCCCCCACCCCCUAACAUGCCACAUGGUCUGUCUGUGUAUAAGCCCAGCAUUUUUCGUUAAAAAAGAAAAAAACUCUUUGUGUUCUUUCUCGUUAGACACGCACUUCGUCGUGUCCGUGCACAUUUAUAAGGCCCCGUAUAAAUGACCUCCAUCUUAAAUAACCUUUCACCUUCAUUUGCCUAGGUCGAAUUCGGUUAGAAGGUUGUAAAAAAAAACCAAAAAAAAGAAAUCUAUGAUUGCAGGGGUAAUCAUCAAUGUGCGAAAUAAACGUAUCGUUCUCACGGUCAACAGCUGCCGACGAAACAAAGAGAAGGUCCUUAUCUGCCAUCUUGUGUGUGUGUUUGUCACAUGGCAAUUUUUUAUUGUAGUGAUUAUCUCGAAGGCCUAGGAAAAUAUAAUGAUUUCCUGUCGGACGCCAGAGGGCUGUUUUCUGCGCCAAAGUCCAAAAACCCCUGCGGAUACGAAAAAGAAGAACCUUUCCGCUGGGGUAACACUGAAAAUUUGCUUAAAUAUUUGUCUAGCCCGAGGCUGAACGUCCUUUUGCCCUUCAAAAAAGUUUCUGUUUUUCGUUAACUAGAGAGAGAGAGCUGAACCGGUUUUAAAUAAAAAAAAUAAAAUACAUUUUCGAUCCGCAUAAUUCAUGAAACGCAUUUCGGAAUUAACCCCCCACCCCCUUUACACGAGUAAAAAUAAAUUUUAUAUACACACGAAAACGCAUUAAAAAGUGUGACAGGACGGUGUGUGUGUGUGUGUGGCGGCGUUCUAUUGUUGGGGGUGCGCCGGACGUUGCUCAUUUGUUACAUAGUGAAAAACCCAGUUUCCGGCCCCCCUUCCUCCCGUGUCAGCUGCCAUUUUUCAAACAAUGUUUAAAAAAAUAUAUAUAUCAAAAUUUAAAAAAAUAAUAAUAAUAAUAUUCUAUUCCGUGAAGCC